UAACAAGGAUUCCCCUAGUAACUGCGAGUGAAGCGGGAAAAGCUCAAAUUUAAAAUCUGGCGGUCUUUGGCCGUCCGAGUUGUAGUCUGGAGAAGUGCUUUCCGCGCUGGACCGUGUACAAGUCUCUUGGAACAGAGCGUCAUAGAGGGUGAGAAUCCCGUCUUUGACACGGACUACCAGUGCUUUGUGAUGCGCUCUCAAAGAGUCGAGUUGUUUGGGAAUGCAGCUCAAAAUGGGUGGUAAAUUCCAUCUAAAGCUAAAUAUUGGCGAGAGACCGAUAGCGAACAAGUACCGUGAGGGAAAGAUGAAAAGCACUUUGGAAAGAGAGUUAAACAGUACGUGAAAUUGCUGAAAGGGAAACGCUUGAAGUCAGUCGCGUUGGCCAGGACUCAGCCUUGCUUUUCGCUUGGUGCAUUUUCUGGUUGACGGGCCAGCAUCGAUUUUGACCACUGGAAAAAGGCUAGGGGAAUGUGGCACCUUCGGGUGUGUUAUAGCCCUUAGUCACAUACAGUGGUUGGGAUCGAGGACCGCAGCACGCCUUUAUGGCCGGGGUUCGCCCACGUUCGUGCUUAGGAUGCUGGCGU
rnacentral:rRNA from 1 species